rnacentral:rRNA from 1 species
AGCGAACGCUGGCGGCAGGCCUAACACAUGCAAGUCGAGCGGCCGUAGCAAUACGGCAGCGGCAGACGGGAGAGUAACACGUGGGAACGCGCCCUUCGGUUCGGGAUAACCCAGGGAAACUUGGGCUAAUACCGGAUACGCCCUUACGGGGAAAGAUUUAUUGCCGAAGGAACGGCCCGCGUCCGAUUAGCUAGUUGGUGAGGUAAUGGCUCACCAAGGCGACGAUCGGUAGCUGGUCUGAGAGGGUGACCAGCCUCACUGGGACUGAGACACGGCCCAAACUCCUACGGGAGGCGGCAGUGGGGAAUAUUGGACAAUGGGCGCAAGCCUGAUCCAGCCAUGCCGCGUGGGUGAUGAAGGCGAUAGGGUUGUAAAGCCCUUUCAGCGGGGAAGAUAAUGACGGUACCCGCAGAAGAAGCCCCGGCUAACUUCGUGCCAGCCGCCGCCGUAA